rnacentral:rRNA from 1 species
CAAUAGCGUAUAUUAAAGUUGUUGCGGUUAAAAAGCUCGUAGUUGGAUUUCUGUUGGGAACGACCGGUCCGCCCAUUGGGUGUGUAUCUGGCUUGUUCUCGGCAUCUUCUUGGUGAACGUUGCUGCACUUGACUGUGUGGAGCGCUACCCAGGACUUUUACUUUGAGGAAAUUAGAGUGUUUCAAGCAGGCAUAUGCCUUGAAUACAUUAGCAUGGAAUAAUAAGAUAGGACCUCGGUUCUAUUUUGUUGGUUUCUAGAGCUGAGGUAAUGAUUAAUAGGGAUAGUUGGGGGCAUUCGUAUUUAACUGGCAGAGGUGAAAUUCUUGGAUUUGUUAAAGACGGACUACUGCGAAAGCAUUUGCCAAGGAUGUUUUCAUUGA